CCAGUAGCCAUCAGGAUCCUUGAUGAAUGCUAUACCUUUCAUUUUACCAUCAUCUGGUUUCUUCACGAACUCCACUCCUAAUUUUUCAAACCUCUCACAAGCCUUGUAUGUAUCAUCAACAGUGAUACCAAUAUGACCAAAGCCACGAGGUUCUGAAUUCCCAUUAUGAUAGCCUUUGAAUUCAGGAUCAGAUUCUGUGCCCCAGUUAUGUGUCAGCUCAAGUGUAGCCUUCUGACUAAAGGUCCAGACAGUUCGUUGAGCCGGAUCAGUUGGUGCUGAUGCAGUAUUCUCAUAACCCAAGAAGUACAAGCUGAAUUUCAUUUCUGGGAAAUCUAGCCUCUUUAAUAACGACAUCCCCAAAACUCGAGAAUAGAAAUCUAGGCUGAUCUUGGGAUCCUUGACACGAAACAUAGUCUGCUGCAUGAAGUAGCCCUUGGUGGCGUCAUCCAGUUCCGUGUGGAGUCCCGGGUUGUUCGCCGGCGACUCCUUCGGCUCCGACGAGGCCGACAUCGAGAAUCUCUUUGGCUGGCGAUGGAGAAGAGAGAAGGAUGGGGCGACGAUCAGGGGCGAUCUGGACGAGAGGCGGCGGAGGGAGGAGAGG
rnacentral:misc_RNA from 1 species